rnacentral:ncRNA from 1 species
AAUAUUUAUAUUAUUCCAAUAUUAUUGGAUAAUAUUUAAAGUUUUAUUCUUGCUUUAUAUUGAAUAUAAUUAUUUUAUAAAUAUAAUUUAUAUGUAGAUCAUUAUUUAUUUUGUAUUAUUUAGUAUUAUUAAAAUUAAGUAAAUGUAAUAGAAAUAAGUUUAAGGGAUAGUUAAGAUUGUGCCAGCAGCUGCGGUUACACAUUCAUUUCUAUUCAAUAUUAUUAAAAUUUUAAUUUUUUGAUUUUGUUUAUUUAAUUUAAAUAAUUUUAAGUGAAAUUUAAAUUUUAUAUUUUUAUAUGAAAUUUUAAUAAUUUAAGAAAAUUAAUCAGAUAAACUAGGAUUAGAUACCCUAUUAUAAUUAAUGUAAAUUCAAUUUUGAGUAGUAAAUGUUUAGGACAGGAAACUUAAAGAAUUUGGCGGUGUAUAUUCUAAUUAGAGGAAUAUGUUUUUUAAUUGAUAAUCCACGUUUAUCUUACUUUAAUUAAUUUAUUUUGUAUAUCUCCGUCUUUAAAAAAUUUUUUAAAAUAUUUUUUAUUUUUUAUAAUUUAAAAUAAGUCAGGUCAAGGUGCAGAUUAUAUUAAAGUUAAAAUGUAUUACAAUAAAAUUAUUUUUGGUUUAAGAUUGAAAUAUGUUUAUUAAAUUGGAUUUGUAAGUAAAAUUUUUUGUAUAAUAAUUAUUUGAAUAAAGUUAAUAUAUAUGUACAUAUUGCCCGUCAUUCUCUUAUCUAGAGACAAGUCGUAACAAAGUAGUUUUACUGGAAAGUGAAGCUGGAGUAUAA